CACAUGCAGUCGAGCGGCAGCACGGGUACUUGUACCUGGUGGCGAGCGGCGGACGGGUGAGUAAUGCCUAGGAAUCUGCCUGGUAGUGGGGGAUAACGCUCGGAAACGGACGCUAAUACCGCAUACGUCCUACGGGAGAAAGCAGGGGACCUUCGGGCCUUGCGCUAUCAGAUGAGCCUAGGUCGGAUUAGCUAGUUGGUGAGGUAAUGGCUCACCAAGGCGACGAUCCGUAACUGGUCUGAGAGGAUGAUCAGUCACACUGGAACUGAGACACGGUCCAGACUCCUACGGGAGGCAGCAGUGGGGAAUAUUGGACAAUGGGCGAAAGCCUGAUCCAGCCAUGCCGCGUGUGUGAAGAAGGUCUUCGGAUUGUAAAGCACUUUAAGUUGGGAGGAAGGGCAGUUACCUAAUACGUGAUUGUUUUGACGUUACCGACAGAAUAAGCACCGGCUAACUCUGUGCCAGCAGCCGCGGUAAUACAGAGGGUGCAAGCGUUAAUCGGAAUUACUGGGCGUAAAGCGCGCGUAGGUGGUUUGUUAAGUUGAAUGUGAAAUCCCCGGGCUCAACCUGGGAACUGCAUCCAAAACUGGCAAGCUAGAGUAUGGUAGAGGGUGGUGGAAUUUCCUGUGUAGCGGUGAAAUGCGUAAAUAUAGGAAGGAACACCAGUGGCGAAAGCGACCACCUGGACUGAUACUGACACUGAGGUGCGAAAGCGUGGGGAGCAA
rnacentral:rRNA from 1 species